rnacentral:rRNA from 1 species
AUUGAACGCUGGCGGCAGGCCUAACACAUACAAGUCGAACGAGUGGCGGACGGGUGAGGAAUAUAUCGGAAUCUACUCUGUCGUGGGGGAUAACGUAGGGCAACUUACGCUAAUACCGCAUACGAUUGAAUGAGCCGAUGUCGGAUUAGCUAGUUGGGGGGGUAAAGGCUCACCAAGGCGACGAUCCGUAGCUGGUCUGAGAGGAUGAUCAGCCACACUGGAACUGAGACACGGUCCAGACUCCUACGGGAGGCAGCAGUGGGGAAUAUUGGACAAGGGGGGCAAGCCUGAUCCAGCCAUACCGCGUGGGUGAAGAAGUCCUUCGGGUUGUAAAGCCCUUUUGUUGGGAAGGCGGUACCCAAAGAAUAAGCACCGGCUAACUUCGUGCCAGCAGCCGCGGUAAUAC